UAUGUUCUAAUCUAAUUUAACCUUACUUUAGACUUUGGUAUUCAGAUUUCGUUCUGAAUCACAUUCGAUGUAAUCGUAAAAUCCCAGAGGAAGAAGAAGGGCACCAAAAUGUAAAGUCUGGUUAGAAUGAAAACAAGUAUGUAUAAAC